UGCGUAGGCGGCCUAUUAAGUUUGUCGUGAAAUCUCCCGGCUCAACUGGGAGGGUGCGGCGAAUACUGAUGGGCUUGGAGUGUGGGAGAGGAGAGUGGAAUUCCUGGUGUAGCGGUGAAAUGCGUAGAUAUCAGGAGGAACACCGGCGGUGUAGACGGCUCUCUGGACCAUAACUGACGCUGAGGCACGAAAGCGUGGGUAGCAAACAGGAUUAGAUACCCUGGUAGUCCACGCCCUAAACGAUGCGCAUUUGGUGUGGGCAGUUCAUUCUGUCCGUGCCGUAGCUAACGCGUUAAAUGCGCCGCCUGGGGAGUACAGUCGCAAGGCUGAA
rnacentral:rRNA from 1 species